ACAUGGAGCUCUGAACUAUACAGAGCAGGGAGCCAGAGGAGAGAAAGAAGUUUCACUUCGCAGCAUUAAUGAAAGAUUUGUGGAGUAUGUGGCAUCCGAACUGAACCUCUAAAAGGGCAUGCCAGUUUAGGAACAGAGGGCAACGUGAAGAAGGGGAAAGACCAGCUGGUGGCCAGCGAAUGAAAAAGCUGAGUUCUGGUCCUUGUCACUAUGGUCUGAAGAAGAUGGUUAUCCAAGUUCAAACCAACACAUCCACAUGUAAGGUAGCAAGACUGGAGAAAGAUGCAUCUAUCCCCAGGAAUCACCCAGACACAGAGUGACAUUUUAAAGGAGAAACCACUGGAUGCCACAGUCUUUUUAAAAAUAAUAUUAGAGGAAGAGCUCAAAGGAAUGUCUGCCCAAGCACCAG